rnacentral:lncRNA from 1 species
GUGGGGGGCAGAGGGGGGUCACAGGGUGAGUUGGGUGGGUGGGGGUCACAUAGAUUGGGGGUGCAGGGGGUGUUGCUGUCCCUCCCCCGACCUCUGCUCCCCCCCAGGUUGGACCUGAGUAACUGCUCCCUGCGCAGCCUCCCCCCAGGGCUGGCCGAGGCCACCGCCACCAUCGUCCUGGACCUGAGGGAGAACCCCCUGACGGCCCUCCCCGACGGCUCCUUCCUGGGCUUCACCCUCCUGCAGCGACUCGUGGUGCCGCUGGCACUGGAGUGCCCGGGCGGGAGCAGCGCCUGGGAGGAGGUGACGACGAGCGGGAGCAGCCGCAUCUGCCAGGGCCAGAAGAACCCCUGCAACGGCUCUGGGGAGAUCGGUAUGGCAGGGGACGGGGUGCCAUGUCCCCGGCACUGGGGAGGGAGGCAGGUGGGGGGUGGCCCCAGCCCGGUGACUCCCCCUGCUCUGCUCCACCAGCCUGGCCGUGCCCUGAGAAUGCCGCCUGUGCCCCGGAUGGCCCCGGACUCAUCCAGUGCCUCUGCAACAGCCCCUUCCACGGCUACAAGUGCCUGCGUGAGGGCACCUUCCCCGUGCUGCUCUUCUGCGGGGUCCUGGGAGCCGUCACCCUGUCCCUGUCCCUCCUGCUCUGGGGCACCCAGCGCCGGAAAGCCAAGACCCCCUGAGCAGGGAAGGGGGAUCUACGCCAGCGCCUCUGCCGAGCUGGGGGGCUCUGGGGACUGCGUGUUGUGGGGGGCUCUAUGUCCUGGGGGCUGGCUCCCCAUGUCGGGGCUGGGGAUGAAUAAAGCCCUCAGCAUCCUGUCCGUGUGUCUGUCUGACUCCCUCACACGGAACUGGGGUGCAGGUGGGGGGCAUGCAGGACCCUCCAGGCUGCGGUGGGGAGCUGGCCCGGGGGGCUGGGAGCGCCUCCUUCCCCCACCCAGGCUGUGGGGGUAGAACUGCUGCUGCCCGUGGGACCCCCGACCCAAAAUGGCGCAGUUUGGGAGGUUGGGAUGGAGAGAGCGCGAUGCAGGAUUGGGGAUGUGCAGACAGAACACGGGGAGGGAUGGCGGGAGCCGCAGCUCUGCCCUGGACUCACCGGUGGAACGACGGAGAUGGAGGUGGCAGGUGAUGGGACAGUGCUGGUGUCUUGUCCAGUCUCGGUCUCAGCGCUGGUCAGUCCGCGCCCUGGGUGGGAACAGAACAUCCAGAGCCGGGAGGAAGGAAGGGCUGGGCCCGGUCCCCCCCAUGUUGCUGCGGGGAAGGUGGGAGCGGAGCUGGGGACCGCGGGGGGUCCUUGUUUUCCACAACAAUCAUCGG